rnacentral:misc_RNA from 1 species
GAAAUUCGAUACGUAGUGUGAAUUGCAGAAUUCAGUGAAUCAUCAAAUCUUUGAACGCACGUUGCGCCCCUUGGUAUUCCAUGGGGCAUGCCUGUUCGAGCGUCAUUUGUACCCUCAAGCUUUGCUUGGUGUUGGGCGUCUUGUCUCCAGUUCGCUGGAGACUCGCCUUAACGUCAUUGGCAUCCGGCCUACUGGUUUCGGAGCGCAGCACAAGUCGCGCUCUCUUCCAGCCAAGGUCAGCGUCCAGUAAGCCUUUUUUUCAACCUUUGACCUCGGAUCAGGUAGGGAUACCCGCUGAACUUAA